rnacentral:rRNA from 1 species
CCCUUAGAUGUUCUGGGCCGCACGCGCGCUACACUGAUGCAUUCAACGAGUUUAAAACCUGCUCUGAUAGGGGUGGGUAAUCUUUUGAAUGUGCAUCGUGAUUGGGAUAGAUGAUUGCAAUUUUUCAUCUUCAACGAGGAAUGCCUAGUAAACGCAAGUCAUCAGCUUGCAUUGAUUACGUCCCUGCCCUUUGUACACACCGCCCGUCGCUCCUACCGAUUGAAUGAUCCGAUGAAUAUCAUGGAUUGAGGAUGCAAGUAGGUUAGCCUAUCUUCAUCUUCGAGAAGUGAAGUAAAUCUUAUCAUUUAGAGGAAGGAGAAGUCGUAACA